rnacentral:lncRNA from 1 species
CCAAAACGUUCUGCGUGGGGCACUCAGCCUAACACCUCUUCUUUGGAAUGAAUCUCCCCCCUGGCCCAUCCGCUCAUUGGUCUCCCUUCCUGUUUCCCUGAGGACUUUGUACUAACCUCUGGCAUAGCCCAACUAUUCUUAUGAAAGAAUAGAAACUUUCAUAUCAUAUCAUGUCAUACCCUAUCCUAUCCUAUCCUAUCCUAUGAGCUCUCCUCUAAGCAUGUUAACCGUUAACGUCUUAGGCAGGCUACUCCACUGGCCCAAUCUUACCAAGAAUGGCCCCUUCCUGUGACUGACUCUCUCCUACCAGGGUCCCCCGCCACCCGGCUUCCCUGGCCCAUUCUGUGUUCGCCAGUGGUCGGGGUGCUCCUCCUGGCCCUUGGGGCUCUUCUCGUCCUCCAGCUCAUCCGGCGCCGGCGGCGGGAACACGGGGCCCUGUGGCUGCCCCCUGGUUUCAUUCGAAGGCCACAGACACAGCAGGCACCCCACCGGCGGAGGCCCCCACUGGGCGAGGACAACAUUGGUCUCAAGGCGCUGAAGCCAGAGGCAGAAGUGGAUGAGGACGGAGUGGUCAUGUGCUCGGGCCCUGAAGAGGGCGAGAUGGGGUGACACCCCUGAUGUCUGCCGUCUUCUGUGGGGGAGUGCAGUCCACCACUGUACAGAGACUGGGACUAGGAAAUCCCGAACCCUGGGAACCACUGCUGGAUAGAGGGGCCUGCCCCCAGGCUCACACUGUGGGCACUGGAGAGACGCCCCUGCACCUAGCUGCCCGAUUCUCUC